CAUCGCGACUUAGCAAACCAUGGCAAACUCCGAAUACCAGGACAGACUAUCCGGGAGACACACGGCGGGUGCUAACGUCCGUCGUGAAAAGGGAAACAACCCAGACCCGCAGCUAAGGUCCCAAAGUUAGUGCUAAGUGGAAAACGAUGUGGAAAGGCAUAGACAGCCAGGAGGUUGGCUUAGAAGCAGCCACCCUUUAAAGAAAGCGUAAUAGCUCACUGGUCGAGUCGGUCUGCGCGGAAGAUUUAACGGGGCUAAGCACUACACCGAAGCUCGGGGUGCACAGCAAUGUGCGCGGUAGAGGAGCGUUCCGUACGCCUGCGAAGGUGGAUCGUAAGGUCUGCUGGAGGUAUCGGAAGUGCGAAUGCUGACAUGAGUAACGAUAAUGCGGGUGAAAAGCCCGCACGCCGAAAGCCCAAGGUUUCCUCGCGCAACGUUCAUCGGCGCAGGGUGAGUCGGCCCCUAAGGCGAGGCAGAAAUGCGUAGUCGAUGGGAAGCUGGUUAAUAUUCCAGCACUUUUCUCAAGUGCGAUGUGGGGACGGAGAAAGUUAGGUCUACCGGGCGUUGGUUGUCCCGGGGAAAGGCGGUAGGCAUGGAUCUUUGGCAAAUCCGGGAUCCUUUAUGCCGAGCACCGAGACGAGUCCUAUUUGGACGAAGUGACUGAUACUACGCUUCCAGGAAAAGCCACUAAGCUUCAGCUUGAGAAAAACCGUACCGUAAACCGACACUGGUAGGCAGGGUGAGAAUCCCAAGGCGCUUGAGAGAACUCGGGUGAAGGAACUAGGCAAAAUGGCACCGUAACUUCGGGAGAAGGUGCGCCCUUUUUGGUGGUCACGUGCGUGACUGAGCUGAGAAGGGUCGCAGUAACCUGGCCGCUGCGACUGUUUAUCAAAAACACAGCACUCUGCAAACACGAAAGUGGACGUAUAGGGUGUGACGCCUGCCCGGUGCUGGAAGGUUAAUUGAUGGGGUCAGCCGCAAGGCGAAGCUCUUGAUCGAAGCCCCAGUAAACGGCGGCCGUAACUAUAACGGUCCUAAGGUAGCGAAAUUCCUUGUCGGGUAAGUUCCGACCUGCACGAAUGGCGUAACGACAGCGGCGCUGUCUCCACCCGAGACUCAGUGAAAUUGAAAUCGCUGUGAAGAUGCAGCGUUCCCGCGGCAAGACGGAAAGACCCCGUGAACCUUUACUAUAGCUUUACACUGAACGUUGAGUUCUUCUGUGUAGGAUAGGUGGGAGGCUAUGAAACCAGGACGCCAGUCUUGGUGGAGCCAUCCUUGAAAUACCACCCUGAAGUGCUUGACGUUCUAACCUAGGCCCGUAAUCCGGGUCAGGGACCGUGUAUGGUGGGUAGUUUGACUGGGGCGGUCUCCUCCCAAAGAGUAACGGAGGAGCACGAAGGUACGCUCAGCGCGGUCGGACAUCGCGCACUGUGUGCAAAGGCAUAAGCGUGCUUGACUGCGAGAUCGACGGAUCAAGCAGGUACGAAAGUAGGUCUUAGUGAUCCGGUGGUUCUGUAUGGAAGGGCCAUCGCUCAACGGAUAAAAGGUACUCCGGGGAUAACAGGCUGAUACCGCCCAAGAGUUCAUAUCGACGGCGGUGUUUGGCACCUCGAUGUCGGCUCAUCACAUCCUGGGGCUGUAGCCGGUCCCAAGGGUAUGGCUGUUCGCCAUUUAAAGUGGUACGCGAGCUGGGUUCAGAACGUCGUGAGACAGUUCGGUCCCUAUCUGUCGUGGGCGUUGGAGAUUUGAGGGGGGCUGCUCCUAGUACGAGAGGACCGGAGUGGACGUUCCGCUGGUGUUCGGGUUGUCUCGCCAGAGGCAUUGCCCGGUAGCUACGAACGGAAGUGAUAACCGCUGAAAGCAUCUAAGCGGGAAGCACGCCCCAAGAUGAGAUCUCCCGAGAGCUCGACUCUCCUUAAGGCACCAUCAAGACCAGGUGGUUGAUAGGUCAGGUGUGGAAGCGCAGCAAUGCGUUGAGCUAACUGAUACUAAUGAGCCGUGCGGCUUGACCAU
rnacentral:ncRNA from 1 species